rnacentral:lncRNA from 10 species
ACAAGUCUCUAGGAAGUUCCAAGCUUUCCCUCAUCUUCCUGUCUUCUUCUGAUCCCUCCAAACUUUUGAACCUCUGCCCAUUACCCAGUUCCAAAGUCACUUCCACAUUUUCAGGUAUCUUUAUAGCAAUGCCCCACUUCUCUGGUACCAAUUUUCUGUAUUAGUUUGUUCUCACACCACUAUAAAGACAUACCUGAGACUGGGUAAUUUAUGGAGAAAAGAGGUUUAAUUGACUCACAGUUCAGCAGGCUGUACAAGAGGCUUGGCUGGGGAGGCAUCAGGAAACUCACAAUCACAGUGGAAAGCAAAGGAGAAGCAGGCAUAAUUGUCACAUGGAAGAGCAGAGAGAGAGAGAGCAAAGGGGAAAGUGCUACACACUUUUUUUAUUUUUAUUUUUUGAGACAGAGUCUCUCUUUGUUGCCAGGCUGGAGUGCAAUGGCAUGAUCUUGGCUCACUGCAACCUCCGACUCCCUGGUUAAAGCAAUUCUCCUGCCUCAGCGUCCCGAAUCAUUCAAUGUUAUGAGGUUCCAAAACAAAAACAAUUAAACUAUACUGUUAAGGAAUAUAUUUUGGAAGACAAACAAAACAAAGGAAGCAUAAACUCAGUAUUCUGGAGAGUGCUUACCUCUUGGGACAGGAAAAUGAAAUACAAAGAACUAAAGAAGUAUGUAUAAGUAGUUUCAAAAUGGUUGGCAGUAUUCCAGUUCAUGAAUCUGGAAAUGUUUUGUUUCUAUUUAUUUCACUAUUAUCCUUCAUAAUUUAUAUAUAUGUUACAUAUAGUUUAUAUGCGUUAACUAUAUACAAAGAAAACUUUAGGGCCAGGCACAGUGGCUCAUGCCUGUAAUCCCAGCACUUUGGGAGGCCGAGGCGGUUGGAUCACCUGAGGUCAGGAGUUUGAAAUCAGCCUGGCAAACAUGGUGAAACCCCAUCUCUACUAAAAAUACAAAAAAAAAAAAAAAUUAGCUGGGUGGGGUGGCGGGCACCUGUAAUCCCAGCUACUCAGGAGGCUGAGGCAGGAGAAUCAUUUCAACCCAGGAGGUGGAGGUUGCAGUGAGCAGAGAUCACGCCACUGCACUCCAGCCUGGGAGACAGGGCAAGACUCCGUUUCAAAAAAAAAAAAAAAAAAAAAAAAAGGAAACUUUAGAAGUUAUGUAUUACAAAUAAGAGGAAUUAUAUUACACUAAGACAAAACACAGAAAUUAUAAUGUUCUCACUAUCAGUGAUAAUCAUGGUUAAUACUUUGGCAUAUUUCAUUUUAGGACACACACACACAUUUCCCUUGUCUUAUUUUUCUAAAUAGAAUCACAUUGUUUAGACUAUUAGGCAUUUUCUCUUUCUGCCAAUA